UACGGAGGGUGCAAGCGUUAAUCGGAAUUACUGGGCGUAAAGCGCGCGUAGGCGGCUCGGUCAGUCGGGUGUGAAAGCCCUUGGCUUAACUGAGGAAGUGCAUCCGAAACUGGCAGGCUAGAGUACUAAAGAGGGUCGCGGAAUUCCCGGUGUAGAGGUGAAAUUCGUAGAUAUCGGGAGGAACACCGGUGGCGAAGGCGGCGACCUGGGUAGAUACUGACGCUGAGGUGCGAAAGCGUGGGGAGCAAACAGG
rnacentral:rRNA from 1 species